rnacentral:piRNA from 1 species
UGAAAGGCCAUAUGAAGUUUUUGGAUAUU